UGCUGAUUCUAACAUUCCAAUAAUUAAACAAUUAUGCUACUAUCUUUAUUUAAUUGAUGCUGUUGUAUGCUGUAUUAGCUUCAUUAUACUUUUACUGUUAAUUCCGCUUAAAAAUCGUCGUUUUAUGUUACACAGAAACUUAAUAUUCUCUAUCAUGAUGAGAGAUAUUUUACGUUUGAUUAAUUUGCAUCUGGAUAUACUUCCAACCGGAAAUUAAAAAAUUCUAUUUAAGGGUUGCAGUUAUACCUUUUUGUUUUUGCAGUAUUUACUUUGGCAGAACUUUUGUGGAUGUUUAAUGAAGGCUUUUUUCAGUUUCGACAGUUUUUCUUUGUUUUUAUUACCAAGUCUUACAUGUGGGUCUACUUUGUUGUUGGCUGGUUGGUACCUGCAGUAAUAACCUUUGGGAUAUAUUUACCAUUAAUGCUAAAGUGUUCAAUAGUUAAAAUGUUUAGAUUAUGUUGGAAUGGUUUAAAUGAUUUACGUAUUUUUUAUGCAAUUAUCAUACCUAUCUUUAUAAU
rnacentral:lncRNA from 1 species